CGCAUCUGUGCAUGCAGCAUAUCAAUAAGCGGAGGAAAAGGAACUAACAAGGAUUCCCCUAGUAACGGCGAGUGAAGCGGGAAGAGCUCAAAUUUGAAAUCUUAAAGGGUUUCCCUUUACGAAUUGUAGUUUAAAGAAGUGUUUUCUGUUGAGGUUUUGGUAAAAGUUCUUUGGAAUAGGACAUCAUAGAGGGUGAGAAUCCCGUAUUUGACCUUUACUUUCAACUUUGUGAUACACUUUCAAAGAGUCGGAUUGUUUGGGAAUGCAGUCCAAAAUGGGUGGUAAAUUUCAUCUAAAGCUAAAUAUUGGCGGGAGACCGAUAGCGAACAAGUACCGUGAGGGAAAGAUGAAAAGAACUUUGAAAAGAGAGUUAAACAGUACGUGAAAUUGUCAAAAGGGAAGCGUUUGACACCAGUGUUGUUUUUCUGAAAAUCAAUUAAAGAACUGUUUAUGCUAAGUUGUUUAGACUUUAUCAGCUAACUGUUUAGUUUUGAGCUUUUCUUUAAUGCACUUUUCAGUUAACAAGUCAACAUCAAUUUCUUUUGCUGUAAAAAAGCUUGAGGAAGGUGGCUUGAGAUUCGUCUUAAGUGUUUAUAGCCUCUUGCCUAUGCAGUCGGAGAGAUUGAGGUCUGCAGCGUAGAUCCUUCGGGGCUAAAUGCAUUUGUGCUAAGUUAUAGCAUUUUAUAGACAACUUGUUGACUAUGAUUUGUCUUGUAGCUUACUCGCUUAUGUUAUUUUACCUACGCUUAGGAUGUUGAACGCGCACAGAGUCUC
rnacentral:rRNA from 1 species